GUCGAGAAUCUUUCACAAUGGGGGCAACCCUGAUGGAGCGACGCCGCGUGGAGGAUAAGGUCUUCGGAUUGUAAACUCCUGUCAUGCGUGAACAAGGUUGCUUGGUUAAUACCUGGGCAAAUUGAUGGUAACGCAAGAGGAAGAGACGGCUAACUCUGUGCCAGCAGCCGCGGUAAUACAGAGGUCUCAAGCGUUGUUCGGAAUCACUGGGCGUAAAGGGUGCGUAGGUGGCGUGGUAAGUCAGAUGUGAAAGCCCGGGGCUCAACCUCGGAACUGCAUCCGAUACUGUCAUGCUAGAGUACUGGAGAGGUGACUAGAAUUCUCGGUGUAGCAGUGAAAUGCGUAGAUAUCGAGAGGAAUACCAAAGGCGUAGGCAGGUCACUGGACAGUUACUGACACUGAGGCACGAAGGCCAGGGGAGCGAACGGGAUUAGAAACCCCGGUAGUCC
rnacentral:rRNA from 1 species